CUCAGAGAUACCGCAUUUUUGAGGCAGUUUCCCAGAUCGGAAUUAAGCCUAGUUUUGGACUACUCAGCUUUUGACUAGGCUUACCUGGACAGGUACAUUUCCCGGGUCCUUCGCAGGCUUCCCUCACAAACUUACUCCGAAAUGGGUCAACAGUGGCAUCGCCAGCCCCGCUCACAGAGACCCCAAAACCUAGUGGGAUCAUACCAGGUGCGAUAGCUGCUGCGCUGUUCAUAAGCUUCAUUCUGGCUCUCUAUACAGUUCUGUGGAAAUGCAUGGUCUCCCCACCCAGAAGGUGAGAGAGAAGAUGAUAUAUAGGUGGAAUCCUUGUUUUUUCACUAAUUAGGUUAAUAUAUAUGCAAAGUAUGAUAUAUGCAAAAUAUGAGCUGUGAACAAUAAUUCAGUUAAAAUACUCAAUCUAAGUGUAAACUGGGAGGUCUUCACUGUGGAAAAUCCUAAAGCAAGCAUAUUGUCUAUAAUACCCUGAAAAAAUCUCCAAAAUGAUAUAUUUACAAGACAUUUUUUAUUUUAAUUGUAAUAAUAUACAGCUCUGGAAAAAAAGAGACCACUUCAGUUUCUGAAUCAAUUUCUCUGAUUUCGCUAUUUAUAUGUAUACGCUUGAGUAAAAUGAACUACGGACAACACUUCUCCCAAAUUCCAAAUAAAAGCAUUUAUUUGUAGAAAAUAAGAAAUGGC
rnacentral:lncRNA from 1 species